CCUACGGGCGGCUGCAGUGGGGAAUAUUGCGCAAUGGGCGAAAGCCUGACGCAGCGACGCCGCGUGAGGGAUGAAGGUCUUCGGAUCGUAAACCUCUGUCAGCAGGGAAGAACGGUCACUGUGCUAAUCAGCAGUGAAUUGACGGUACCAGCAAAGGACGCACCGGCUAACUCCGUGCCAGCAGCCGCGGUAAUACGGAGGGUGCGAGCGUUAAUCGGAAUUACUGGGAGGAAAGCGCUCGUAGGCGGUAGGUCAAGUCAAGGGUGAAAUCCCCGGGCUCAACGUGGGAACUGCCUUUGAAACUGGCAAACUGGAGUGUGGGAGAGGAUAGUGGAAUUCCUGGUGUAGGGGUGAAAUGCGUAGAUAUCUGGAGGAACAUCAAUGGCGAAGGCGACUAUCUGGCACAUAACUGACGCUGAGGAGCGAAAGCGUGGGUAGCAAACAGGAUUAGAUACCCCAGUAGUC
rnacentral:rRNA from 1 species